UAAGCGGAGGAAAAGAAACUAACANGGAUUCCCCUAGUAACUGCGAGUGAAGCUGGAAAAGCUCAAAUUUAAAAUCUGGUGGUCUUUGGCCGUCCGAGUUGUAAUUUAGAGAAGCGUCUUCCGCGCUGGACCGUGCACAAGUCUCCUGGAAUGGAGCGUCAUAGAGGGUGAGAAUCCCGUCUUUGGCACGGACACACCAGGGCUUUUGUGAUGCGCUCUCGAAGAGUCGAGUUGUUUGGGAAUGCAGCUCAAAAUGGGUGGUGAACUCCAUCUAAAGCUAAAUAUUGGCGAGAGACCGAUAGCGAACAAGUACCGUGAGGGAAAGAUGAAAAGCACUUUGGAAAGAGAGUGAAACAGUACGUGAAAUUGUUGAAAGGGAAACGCUUGAAGUCAGUCGCGUCGACCGAGACUCAGCCUUGCCUUGGCUUGGUGUACUUCUCGGCUGACGGGUCAGCAUCAAUUUUGCCCCUUGGAUAAUGGUGAGGGAAAUGUGACACCUUUACGGUGUGUUAUAGUCUCUUGUCGCAUGCAAGGGUCGGGAUUGAGGAACUCAGCACGCGCCCUUGGGCGUCGGGGCUUUUGCCCACGAUACGUGCUUAGGAUGUUGGCAUAAUGGCUUUAAACGACC
rnacentral:rRNA from 1 species